rnacentral:rRNA from 1 species
CCCAGACUCCUACGGGAGGCAGCAGUGGGGAAUAUUGCACAAUGGGGGAAACCCUGAUGCAGCGACGCCGCGUGAGUGAAGAAGUAUUUCGGUAUGUAAAGCUCUAUCAGCAGGGAAGAAAAUGACGGUACCUGAUUAAGAAGCCCCGGCUAACUACGUGCCAGCAGCCGCGGUAAUACGUAGGGGGCAAGCGUUAUCCGGAUUUACUGGGCGUAAAGGGAGCGUAGACGGCAGCGCAAGUCUGAAGUGAAAUGCCGCGGCUUAACCCCGGAACUGCUUUGGAAACUGUGCAGCUAGAGUGAAGGAGAGGUAAGUGGAAUUCCUAGUGUAGCGGUGAAAUGCGUAGAUAUUAGGAGGAACACCAGUGGCGAAGGCGGCUUACUGGACUGUAACUGACGUUGAGGCUCGAAAGCGUGGGGAGCAAACAGGAUUAGAUACCCUGGUAACC